AUACGGAGGGUGCGAGCGUUAAUCGGAAUUACUGGGCGUAAAGCGUACGUAGGCGGUUGGUUAAGUUAGAUGUGAAAGCCCCGGGCUUAACCUGGGAACUGCAUUUAAAACUGGCGAACUAGAGUUGACUAGAGGGGAGUGGAAUUUCAGGUGUAGCGGUGAAAUGCGUAGAGAUCUGAAGGAACACCAGUGGCGAAGGCGACUCCCUGGACUCGAACUGACGCUGAGGUACGAAAGCGUGGGUAGCAAACGGCAUUAGAAACCCCUGUAGUCC
rnacentral:rRNA from 1 species